ACGGGGUGCAGCAGGCGCGAAAACUUCACACUGGGGGGAACCCCGAUGAGGGAAAUCCUAGUGCUUAGGACAUUUGUUCUAGCUUUUCUCAAGCGUAGAUAACUUGAGGAAUAAGGGCUGGGUAAGACGGGUGCCAGCCGCCGCGGUAAUACCUGCAGCCCAAGUGGUGGUCGAUUUUAUUGAGUCUAAAACGUUCGUAGCCGGUUUGGUAAAUCUUUGGGUAAAUCGGGAGGCUCAACUUUCCGACUGCCGAAGAGACUGCCAAACUUGGGACCGGGAGAGGCUAGAGGUACUUCUGGGGUAGGGGUAAAAUCCUGUAAUCCUAGAAGGACCACCGGUGGCGAAGGCGUCUAGCUAGAACGGAUCCGACGGUGAGGGACGAAGCCCUGGGUCGCAAACGGGAUUAGAUACCCCGGUAGUCCAGGGUGUAAACGCUGCAGACUUGGUGUUGGAGGCCCUUCGGGGGCAUUCAGUGCCGGAGAGAAGUUGUUAAGUCGGCUACUUGGGGAGUACGUCCGCAAGGAUGAAACUUAAAGGAAUUGGCGGGGGAGCAC
rnacentral:rRNA from 1 species